CCCAGCUAUGGGCUACUGCUCGCCUCCAAGGCUGACCACCCACUAUCCUCCAAAUCAACCUCGCUCUUGAAUAGUACAGGAGGACAUGCUCCAUCGACUCAUCCUCCAACCUACAAACCAAACAAGAAACAAAAAGUUCCAUACCCCGAUCCCUGAGUAGCACACGCAUCGGAAGUUGAUAACCAGCAACCUUCUAAAAAAAAAGCCUCACCCUGGGAUAAGCAGACACUCUCUAGAUCCAAGCAGUCUUGAUCCUCCUAUCUGAUGCAGACCUGCACAUCUCGAAAAAGAUCCUCAUAGGAGCCUUUGAAUAACACGAUUGGCCCCACACCCUCAAGUCCUAGCUUCAAUAGGUGGAAAUCAGAAUGGUAAGAAUCCGAUUAGCGAGCUGACCAUCAAAAAGAUGGAUGAUAUCAUGUACUCUCUAAUCAC
rnacentral:lncRNA from 1 species